UUAUAUUUAGUUUAAAAGAACACAAAAUUUUGAAUUUUGAGGAAAUAGUUUAAUUCUAUUAAUAUAUA
rnacentral:tRNA from 1 species